UACGUAGGGGGCAAGCGUUGUCCGGAAUCAUUGGGCGUAAAGAGCGUGUAGGCGGCCAGAUAAGUCCGCUGUGAAAACUCGAGGCUCAACUUCGAGCUGUCGGUGGAAACUAUUUGGCUAGAGUCCGGAAGAGGAGAGUGGAAUUCCUGGUGUAGCGGUGAAAUGCGCAGAUAUCAGGAAGAACACCCGUGGCGAAGGCGGCUCUCUGGGCCGAUACUGACGCUGAGGAGCGAAAGCGUGGGGAGCGAACAGG
rnacentral:rRNA from 1 species